CCAUCAUUAAGUUGGGCACUCUAGAGAGACUGCCAGGGAUAACCUGGAGGAAGGUGGGGAUGACGUCAAAUCAUCAUGCCCUUUAUGCUUAGGGCUACACACGUGCUACAAUGGGUAGUACAGAGGGUUGCCAAGCCGUAAGGUGGAGCUAAUCCCUUAAAGCUACUCUCAGUUCGGAUUGUAGGCUGAAACUCGCCUACAUGAAGCUGGAGUUACUAGUAAUCGCAGAUCAGAAUGCUGCGGUGAAUGCGUUCCCGGGUCUUGUACCCACCGCCCGUCACACCACGGGAGUUGGAGACGCCCGAAGCCGAUUAUCUAACCUUUUGGAAGAAGUCGUCGAAGGUGGAAUCAAUAACUGGGG
rnacentral:rRNA from 1 species